AGAAAGAUAAGCUAAGAAAGCUAUUAGGUUCAUACCCUAAAUAUAGAAAUUAAAUAUUCUUCUUUCUA
rnacentral:tRNA from 1 species